CCUCCCUGAGUCUAUUAAUAUCACUGUGUUGAAUUUCACAACAGUUUGGCACUUACAGCGAAUCUGAGAGGAAAACCGAGGAGUACGAUACUCAGGCCAUGAAGUACUUGUCAUACCUGCUGUACCCUCUCUGUGUCGGGGGUGCUGUCUAUUCACUCCUGAAUAUCAAAUAUAAGAGCUGGUACUCCUGGUUAAUCAACAGCUUCGUCAACGGGGUCUAUGCCUUUGGUUUCCUCUUCAUGCUGCCCCAGCUCUUUGUGAACUACAAGGUAAGGCGGUGUGUGCUGCCCGCGGCCCGGCCCCCGUCUCCUGUGCUGCCCACAGCUGACCUGGGCCUGUCUCUCCUGUUGCAGUUGAAGUCAGUGGCACAUCUGCCCUGGAAGGCC
rnacentral:sRNA from 1 species